GCUAAUAUCAGUUGGGGUAGUGCUGCUUUAGCAUACCUGUAUCAUUAUUUGUGCGAGGCUUCUAUAGGCAGAUAGAGAAGAGAUGUGGGUGGACCUAUGGUUCUCUUGCAGCUGUGGGCCUGGGAAAGAAUGCCUACAUUGAGGCCAGCCUUCUUGAUAUCGCCUAUGCACACGCCGUAUACCCCGUGUGGAGCCAAGUGGCACGGAGUUACUGAAAUUGGAAAUGCUCCCCGACAUUCAGUAGCUCAUUAUCGUGAUCAGUUAUCACUGAUCCGUCCUGGCCAGUUUAUGUGGACACCCUAUGCAGACUGUAUCCUCCCUGA